rnacentral:rRNA from 1 species
UAGCAGCCGCGGUAAUACGUAGGUGGCAAGCGUUGUCCGGAAUUAUUGGGCGUAAAGGGCUCGCAGGCGGUUUCUUAAGUCUGAUGUGAAAGCCCCCGGCUCAACCGGGGAGGGUCAUUGGAAACUGGGAAACUUGAGUGCAGAAGAGGAGAGUGGAAUUCCACGUGUAGCGGUGAAAUGCGUAGAGAUGUGGAGGAACACCAGUGGCGAAGGCGACUCUCUGGUCUGUAACUGACGCUGAGGAGCGAAAGCGUGGGGAGCGAACAGGAUUAGAUACCCUGGUAGUCCACGCCGUAAACGAUGAGUGCUAAGUGUUAGGGGGUUUCCGCCCCUUAGUGCUGCAGCUAACGCAUUAAGCA